rnacentral:sRNA from 1 species
GAGAAAGAAUGAUCGACUAAGUUCGUCACGUCCUGUGACAACGUCGAUCUGACCCACGUCGUGUGGG